rnacentral:rRNA from 1 species
UGGGGGAUAUUGCACAAUGGGGGGAACCCUGAUGCAGCGACGCCGCGUGAGGGAAGACGGUUUUCGGAUUGUAAACCUCUGUCUUUAGGGACGAAAAAAUGACGGUACCUAAAGAGGAAGCCACGGCUAACUACGUGCCAGCAGCCGCGGUAAUACGUAGGUGGCAAGCGUUGUCCGGAAUUACUGGGUGUAAAGGGAGCGUAGGCGGGGAGGCAAGUUGAAUGUUUAAACUAUCGGCUCAACUGAUAGUCGCGUUCAAAACUGCCACUCUUGAGUGCAGUAGAGGUAGGCGGAAUUCCUAGUGUAGCGGUGAAAUGCGUAGAUAUUAGGAGGAACACCAGUGGCGAAGGCGGCCUACUGGGCUGUAACUGACGCUGAGGCUCGAAAGCGUGGGUAGCAAACAGGAUUAGAUACC